UGAUGACUUCAUUCAUGACUUCCUUUGCCUACCUAAUCUUCAGUUAUUGGCAAGACAUAUUACUGUCAUUAUCAUUUUGCUUUUAUUACGCAGAUGAAAAAUGUUUGCUGUUGAAAAAUACUCAAAAUGAUAACAAAAUUCUGAAAAACCACCUGCAACUCUGCCACCCCGAGAUGACUAUGGUUAAUCUUUUAGGAGGCAUUCCAAUCCCUGGAAAUGAAUGGCUGAGGAGAUGCAAGCAUCAUAUGACAAAUGGGCCUCCCCAUCCACCCCUGUGCUCUAUCUUAAUCUUUCUUGUAGAACUUACUACAUUUACUAUAGCUAUUUGUUCAGGGAUUAUUAGAACAGGAGUCAGUUGACUUAGGUUCUAGUUCCACCUUUGAUCUGCCAAAGAUUCCGUUUUUUAAAAAGAGGAGACCUUGAAAAUCACGCCAGGGGGGUUUGGACUUCCAUCUGUAAGUGAUUGGGAACUGUUGAAGGAUUUGAAGCGGUUGAAUCAUUCAAGAUAAUUUUGGUAGAGGAACUUCUCCCUGGAAGCAAUGAUACAUGAAUCUGAACUGAAUACAGGGAAUAUUUUCAAAAAAGCACAUUGCCUUCAUAAAUUUUCUUUCAAAGAACGCUGUUGAAAAAGCAUUUUGAGCAAGAGUACAAUAACCUUCGCAAUCAGACAUGGCAGAUCUGAUCUGGGGGAUGGUCAGGGGAUACCUACCCACUUGGCCAACAGUUAAGUUUUAUUAGGGCUAGUAAUUUUUAUAAAAAUACUACAAGUUUUACUAGGACAAUAACUUGAAUAUUUUAUGCUAAUUUCCUAAACUGAUCCUUCUAUUUUCACUGAAAACAUUUACGUUUCUAUUCUUUAGAUGAGGUUGUUAAUACAAAAGCAAUUUAUUUUUCGUGAAUGGAGUUAGGUGGAGCAAAAAAAUAAAGGGAUAGACGAUUGUUCCAAAUCAUUUUAUUUCAUGGGAUAUAUUUUUUGCCACUGAGUUAAAAAAACACAUUUGUCACAUAUUAAAUUCCUAUAUGUAAAUAAACAGGUGAAGAAUAAUGGCCAAGAAUUUUACAAAUUUCAUUAAAAAAAUCAAUCCACAGACCCAAGAUACUCAAAAAAUCUCAGGCUGGAAAAACACAAGGCAAACCACACAGAUGAACAUAUUUAUUAAAUUUCUGAAAACAAGAGAUGAAGAGAAAAAUCUUAAAAACAGCCAGAAAAAUAUAUGUAUAGAGGAACAAAUAUAUAAAUCUAAUUUCUCAUCAGAAGCUAUGCAUGUCAGAAGAAUGGAAAAAGAUCUUUAAAGUGCUGAAAGAAAAAAAGAAACUGUAAACCUGGAUUUUUAUACCUGAUAAAAAUAUCCUUCAAAAAUGAAGGCAAAGUGAAGAUUUUUCAGAAAAAAAUCUGAGAGAAGUUUGGCUAGCAGACCUGGAUGACAAGAAAUGUUAAAAAAUAAGUUCUUCAGAUGGAAAGAAAAUGAUAACUGAAGAUUUGGAUCUACAGAAAGGAAUGAAAAGCUCCAGAAAUGGUGGCAAGAGAACAGAGUGCAAAAGAAGGCAAGAAGGAAUAAGAACUUUUAUAUUUAUGCUUGCUUGUGCAAAUUAUACAAACCAUCAUGGAAGUGAGUUACCUUAAUAUUAAGCAGUUGCUAGCACUAAAUGCUUUUCUCUGCGGCUGUCCACAUUUUGAUGUCCCAGAACGUCAUAAUUCAAUAUUAACUGAAUAAUGCAUGUGUGAAAUUUCACAAAAAUAAGCAAAUAACCUUGUAUCUUUUUUCUUUUUUUAAGCUAUUUUUGGGUGGUGGAUGGAGAUGACAUUGGCCAAUGACUUCCCAUUUUUUUGACUUUGAAAUGAAAACUAGGGAAAGUAUAUGAAAA
ensembl:lncRNA